rnacentral:rRNA from 1 species
GGUCAAGCGAAUAAGUGCAUGUGGUGGAUGCCUUGGCGAUUACAGGCGAUGAAGGACGUAGUAGCCUGCGAAAAGCUGCGGGGAGCUGGCAAACAAGCUUUGAUCCGCAGAUAUCCGAAUGGGGAAACCCGGCCCGUAUGGGUCAUCUGUUACUGAAUACAUAGGUAACAGAAGCGAACGCAGUGAACUGAAACAUCUAAGUAGCUGCAGGAACAGAAAUCAACCGAGAUUCCCAAAGUAGUGGCGAGCGAAAUGGGAUCAGCCUUGUACUCUUUAGCAGUAUUGUUAGCAAAGCGGAAUGGAAA